rnacentral:pre_miRNA from 1 species
AGUGAGAUAGCUGGGUCAAAUGGUGGUUCCAAUACUAGUUUUCUGAGGAAUCUCCAUACUACUUUCCAGAGUGGUUGCACCAAUUUGCAGUCCCACCAGCAAU